UGUUCACUCUGCCAUGAAGCCUUCAACAACACCUCGCCUGAGCCUGCCAUCUCCUCACCUUCCCAGUGUGUUCUGCACUAAAUCCACAUGUUUCUCCAUACCUGCCUGCCUGCUCUACAGUUGGGUUCCGCUACCUUCAGCUGCAUGACAGCUUGUCAAUGCUUUGUCUUCGCCAUCGUUAAAAAUGCCUCCGUAUCUCCCUGUCUAGAAGUCUACGCAACGAUGUAGCCUUGAAACUAAUAUGGAGUCAACAGCGUAUCCAAAAUGCUCCGUUUUAGGAGUUUGACUAUGCCGGAGUAAUGUGAAUGCUACAUGCAAGCAUAGCAAGCUUUGCGGGCUAAAACAGAAAACAUUCGGUGGCUGCAGCCUAGAACUGUCCUCUCCAGUUGGAUUACCAUCAACAGCUUCCUGAUGGUAUCCCUGAACAACAGAGAUGCGCAAUUAAAAGAAGAGCUUCCAACUUCAUCGUGAAGGCUGAGCAAACUUUGGGCUUUAUCUAUACAACAUCCUGUCAAUAGAGUCUAAUCUGUGCUGAAAACCUUGAGGAUUUUCACUCUCGCCAGAUGGAGAACUGUAUUAUAUCUGCCUCCUGACAUCACAGGAGGCAGACCAAAUAUUUAUGAGUUCCAUGCCAGCCAGUGUGGGGCUCAUUGUGGAGUUUAAAAAAAACCAUCAUUCCAUCAUCAGCUGCUGCCAUCAGGCAUGGAAUGGAAAAUACAUCCCCAAAUGUGUCACAGCCAUUUGAAGUAAUUGGAAUGGACCCUGAGAGGCUCACAGUAACAGAGUGGUCAUGUACCCAAAGGAGAAAGUAGUCAUGUUUGAUGCCACUGAUGACCAGCUGAGAAAACGCAGAGAUUCAACAAGGGCCUCCAUUAGAAGGAAAAUGAAUGUGUCCAGAUGGACUUGUGCCACAGUUUCUCAUCCCUGCCUGCAGGACACCACGUCAUGUGGCGUCAUAGUCUGGAAAAUUGAAUGCUCAGCAUGAGGCGUCUGGUACCACUGCCAGCGUUUGGGACAAUCACCCACUGAUCAGCUGUUAUUGUCCUGCCUUCCCUCCUACAUCAUGCUGUAGCCUAUACAGGUGAAUGCCCCCUUUGAAAACCAAAUCAGAUGUCCUACCGGUGAUAGUCAUUAAGCUAUGUUAACAUUUUUAUUCAGGUCCUGGGCUGUUUGUUUGGUAACUGCCAAACUAACUGCUCAUUUUUUCUUUUUCUUGAUUGAUUGAAGCAGUUUUGGAGGUUUUCAUGAGGCUAUUUUCUGUUAAUGGGCUUCUGAGAGGCUAACUGAGAAUUAAAUUCUGGCUCCACACAGACUCCACUUAUUCUGUCAGCUGACUGUUAUACCAAUACCACUGCACUGAUUUGACAGUCUUAUUCUAUUCCCUGAUCCUCAUAUUCUCUCUGUACAGUGGCAUGUUACUUUACUGCUGAUGCAACCUCCUGUCAGUCUUCACUGCUAUAUGCACUCUAAAAUUCUUUGUACAUGUAUUUCCGUGGGGAAUUCUCUGCAGUGCUCUGUUCUCAUGUGCUGUAUAUCUUGGAUGUUUUGCUGUGUUUCCACAGUAGCAGAUUACCACCUUUGUCUUUGUUUCCAUCUCAGUUCACAAUGACAUGAGUGGUUCUUGACAAAAUAAACUUAAUACACAUUUUUUUUAAACAAACUUGACAGCAAAUGUCAAGUUUAAACUGCAUUACUUAUUCUU